AUUGAACGCUGGCGGCAUGCCUUACACAUGCAAGUCGAACGGUAACAGGUCUUCGGAUGCUGACGAGUGGCGAACGGGUGAGUAAUACAUCGGAACGUGCCUAGUAGUGGGGGAUAACUACUCGAAAGAGUGGCUAAUACCGCAUGAGAUCUACGGAUGAAAGCAGGGGAUCGCAAGACCUUGUGCUACUAGAGCGGCCGAUGGCAGAUUAGGUAGUUGGUGGGAUAAAAGCUUACCAAGCCGACGAUCUGUAGCUGGUCUGAGAGGACGAACAGCCAGACUGGGACUGAGACACGGCCCAGACUCCUACGGGAGGCAGCAGUGGGGAAUUUUGGACAAGGGGCGCAAGCCUGAUCCAGCAAUGCCGCGUGCAGGAUGAAGGCCUUCGGGUUGUAAACUGCUUUUGUACGGAACGAAAAGCCCUGGGUUAAUACCCUGGGGUCAUGACGGUACCGUAAGAAUAAGCACCGGCUAACUACGUGCCAGCCGCCGCAGUAACAC
rnacentral:rRNA from 1 species